UACGAAGGGGGCUAGCGUUGCUCGGAAUCACUGGGCGUAAAGCGCACGUAGGCGGCUUUCUAAGUCAGGGGUGAAAUCCUGGAGCUCAACUCCAGAACUGCCUUUGAUACUGGGAAGCUCGAGUCCGGAAGAGGUGAGUGGAACUCCGAGUGUAGAGGUGAAAUUCGUAGAUAUUCGCAAGAACACCAGUGGCGAAGGCGGCUCACUGGCCCGAUACUGACGCUGAGGCACGAAAGCGUGGGGAGCAAACAGG
rnacentral:rRNA from 1 species